GCAACACAAAAUAUAAAGACCCAGUUCUCAAACUCAGAUAGACACUUUUAUUUAGGGUAGCGAAAGCCCAGCAGCGCUCCUAAUCUCAUGUAGCUGGGGUAAAUACACUCAACAGCGCUGGGCCAUUUUCAGGGUACAUUUCGAUGCAUUGGGCUGUGCAAAUUAUUGCACUUACGAAUUAUACGCCAUAAGAAGAGCUUUUGGUGACCAGUUGCUGCCUAGUGGAAUGAAUAGCAUAUUCUUAUAUUUUCUAGAAGAUUUUUUGUUUAUUUUCUUUUCCAUUUUAUCAGAAACAAGCAUGGAAUAAAAUAGUUCUGUUUAGCUA